GGAGAAGCACAGAAGAAGGGGGUCAAGCUGGGAAGAAGGAAUGCAAACCAUUCGGGAACUGAGAAAAUGCAAGUAGUCGGCAAGGUGAUGUCCGAUAGACCAGCGAGGGUGGAUGCGCUGGUCAGUACUUUGGGAAGGAUCUGGGGUCCGUUCAAGGGGAUUGAAUGCAAAGAUCUUGGUAUGAACCAGUUCCUCUUCACCUUCCGAGAAAUGACAUGGAGAGAUAAAGCUCUGAAUAAUGGGCCUUGGAUGUUCAACAAAAGCUUCCUAGUGAUGGAGAAAUUCAACCCGGCCAAGACCCUGGAUGAAUACGAAUUCAGGUACGCACCAAUAUGGGUUAGAGUUUAUCAUAUUGCUAUGGGGUGGAUGAGUAGAGAAUCCGGUGAAGAAAUAGGAGAAGUACUCGAUGUAGAUGUUGAUGAUUGCGGCAUGGCCAUGUGGGAGUACAUGAGAAUGAAAGUUUGA
rnacentral:rRNA from 1 species